ACCUUGAAACGGUGAAACCGCGAACGGCUCAUUAAAUCAGCUAUGGUUCCUUGGAUCGUAUAUACUACAUGGAUAACUGUAGUAAUUCUAGAGCUAAUACAUGCAACUAUGCCCUGACCCGCGAGGGAACGGGUGCAUUUAUUAGAACAGAACCAACCGGUCAUGGCUUCGGUCGUGGUCGACUUGCUCUGUGAUGACUCUGGAUAACUUUACCGAUCGCAGUCGGCCUUGUGUCGGCGAUGGAUCUUUCAAAUGUCUGUCUUAUCAAUUUUCGAUGGUAGGUGACCUGCCUACCACGGUGAUAACGGGUAACGGGGAAUCAGGGUUCGAUUCCGGAGAGGGAGCCUGAGAGACGGCUACCACUUCCAAGGAAGGCAGCAGGCGCGCAAAUUACCCAAUCCCAGAACGGGGAGGUAGUGACGAAAAAUACGGAUACGGGACUCGACAAGAGGCUCCGUAAUUCGAAUGAGUACAAUUCAAAUCCUUUAACGAGGAUCAACUGGAGGGCAAGUCUGGUGCCAGCAGCCGCGGUAACUCCAGCUCCAGUGGCAUAUAUUAAAGUUGUUGCAGUUAAAAAGCUCGUAGUUGGAUCUGGGUCGGAUGGCUGUGCGCCGUUCUUGCUUUCUCGGUCUGGUUUCGAUCGGAUCGGGUUGGUGAGUCGGUGUUGCGGUUGUUCGGUCUUUCUGCUGUGUCUGUGAAAACAGGUGCUGGCCUCGGUCGGCAUGCUUCCGUAUGCUCUUCAUCGGGUGUCGGGGGCGGACGGCAUGU
rnacentral:rRNA from 1 species